CAACAGGGAUUGCCCUAGUAACGGCGAGUGAAGCGGCAACAGCUCAAAUUUGAAAUCUGGCCCUCGGGUCCGAGUUGUAAUUUGUAGAGGAUGCUUUUGGCGCGGUGCCUUCCGAGUUCCCUGGAACGGGACGCCUUAGAGGGUGAGAGCCCCGUACGGUUGGACACCAAGCCUCUGUAAAGCUCCUUCGACGAGUCGAGUAGUUUGGGAAUGCUGCUCUAAAUGGGAGGUAAAUUUCUUCUAAAGCUAAAUAUUGGCCAGAGACCGAUAGCGCACAAGUAGAGUGAUCGAAAGAUGAAAAGCACUUUGAAAAGAGGGUUAAAUAGCACGUGAAAUUGUUGAAAGGGAAGCGUUUGCGACCAGACCUUUUCCUAGCGGAUCAACCGGUGUUCUCACCGGUGCACUUCGCUAGGUUUAGGCCAGCAUCGGUUUCUGUAGGGGGAUAAAAGCUCUGGGAACGUAGCUCCUCCGGGAGUGUUAUAGCCCUCUGCAUAAUACCCUUACGGGGACCGAGGACCGCGCUUCGGCAAGGAUGCUGGCGUAAUGGUCGUCAACGA
rnacentral:rRNA from 1 species